rnacentral:rRNA from 1 species
CGCGGCCUAUCAGCUUGUUGGUGAGGUAACGGCUCACCAAGGCGACGACGGGUAACCGGCCUGAGAGGACGAUCAGCCACACUGGGACUGAGACACGGCCCAGACUCCUACGGGAGGCAGCAGUAGGGAAUCUUGCGCAAUGGGGGCAACCCUGACGCAGCAACGCCGCGUGUGGGAUGACGGCUUUCGGGUUGUAAACCACUUUCAGUGAUGACGAAAAUGACGGUAAUCACAGAAGAGGGUCCGGCCAACUACGUGCCAGCAGCCGCGGUAAUACGUAGGGCGCAAGCGUUGUCCGGAUUUAUUGGGCGUAAAGGGCUCGUAGGCGGUUUGGUAAGUCGGGUGUGAAAACUCAGGGCUCAACUCUGAGACGCCACUCGAUACUGCCAUGACUAGAGUCCGGUAGGGGAGUGCGGAAUUCCUGGUGUAGCGGUGAAAUGCGCAGAUAUCAGGAGGAACACCAACAGCGAAGGCAGCACUCUGGGCCGGUACUGACGCUGAGGAGCGAAAGCGUGGGGAGCGAACAGGAUUAGAUACCCUGGUAGUCCACGCCGUAAACGGUGGGAACUAGAUGUGGGGUCCGUUCCACGGAUUCCGUGUCGCAGCUAACGCAUUAAGUCCCCCGCCUGGGGAGUACGG